rnacentral:rRNA from 1 species
GUUUUUUAUUUCACCACCCUGAACAUGCCCAAUCUUGUCUGAUCUUGGAAGCUAAGCAGGGUUGGGCCUGGUUAGUACUUGGAUGGAGAAAAAA